GAUGAACGCUGGCGGCGUGCCUAAUACAUGCAAGUCGAGCGAACAGAUGAGGAGCUUGCUCCUCUGACGUUAGCGGCGGACGGGUGAGUAACACGUGGAUAACCUACCUAUAAGACUGGGAUAACUUCGGGAAACCGGAGCUAAUACCGGAUAACAUAUUGAACCGCAUGGUUCAAUAGUGAAAGACGGUUUUGCUGUCACUUAUAGAUGGAUCCGCGCCGCAUUAGCUAGUUGGUAAGGUAACGGCUUACCAAGGCAACGAUGCGUAGCCGACCUGAGAGGGUGAUCGGCCACACUGGAACUGAGACACGGUCCAGACUCCUACGGGAGGCAGCAGUAGGGAAUCUUCCGCAAUGGGCGAAAGCCUGACGGAGCAACGCCGCGUGAGUGAAGAAGGUCUUCGGAUCGUAAAACUCUGUUAUUAGGGAAGAACAAAUGUGUAAGUAACUAUGCACGUCUUGACGGUACCUAAUCAGAAAGCCACGGCUAACUACGUG
rnacentral:rRNA from 1 species